UACGUAGGAUGCAAGCGUUAUCCGGAAUUAUUGGGCGUAAAGAGCUCGUAGGCGGUUUGUCGCGUCUGCCGUGAAAGUCCGGGGGCUCAACUCCGGAUCUGCGGUGGGUACGGGGCAGACUAGAGUGAUGUAGGGGAGACUGGAAUUCCUGGUGUAGCGGUGAAAUGCGCAGAUAUCAGGAGGAACACCAAUAGCGAAGGCAGCUCGCUGGGACGUUACUGACACUGAGGCGCGAAAGCGUGGGGAGCGAACAGG
rnacentral:rRNA from 1 species